rnacentral:hammerhead_ribozyme from 1 species
GCACUACUGAGGAGUCCCAUAAUAGGACGAAACGGCUGUCCAGUAC